UACGGAGGGAGCUAGCGUUGUUCGGAAUCACUGGGCGUAAAGCGCACGUAGGCGGAUGUGUCAGUCAGGGGUGAAAUCCCGGAGCUCAACUUCGGAACUGCCUUUGAUACAGCACAUCUGGAGUCCGGAAGAGGUGGGUGGAAUUCCUAGUGUAGAGGUGAAAUUCGUAGAUAUUAGGAAGAACACCGGUGGCGAAGGCGGAUCUCUGGGCCUUACCUGACGCUGAGGCGCGAAAGCUAGGGGAGCAAACAGG
rnacentral:rRNA from 1 species